rnacentral:tRNA from 1 species
AGAGAGAUGGCUCAAUGGUUAAGAGCACUUCACUGCUCUUCGAAAGGACCAGGGUUCAAUUCCCAGCAUCCCUA